rnacentral:rRNA from 1 species
AUUGAACGCUGGCGGCAUGCCUUACACAUGCAAGUCGAACGGCAGCACGGGUGCUUGCCCCUGGUGGCGAGUGGCGAACGGGUGAGUAAUACAUCGGAACAUGUCCUGUGGCGGGGGAUAGCCCGGCGAAAGCCGGAUUAAUACCGCAUACGAUCUACGGAUGAAAGCGGGGGACCUUCGGGCCUCGCGCUAUAGGGUUGGCCGAUGGCUGAUUAGCUAGUUGGUGGGGUAAAGGCCUACCAAGGCGACGAUCAGUAGCUGGUCUGAGAGGACGACCAGCCACACUGGGACUGAGACACGGCCCAGACUCCUACGGGAGGCAGCAGUGGGGAAUUUUGGACAAUGGGCGAAAGCCUGAUCCAGCAAUGCCGCGUGUGUGAAGAAGGCCUUCGGGUUGUAAAGCACUUUUGUCCGGAAAGAAAUCCUUGGCCCUAAUACGGUCGGGGGAUGACGGUACCGGAAGAAUAAGCACCGGCUAACUACGUG